GGGUUGUGAGGUUAAGCGACUAAGCGUACACGGUGGAUGCCCUGGCAGUCAGAGGCGAUGAAGGGCGUGCUAAUCUGCGAUAAGCGCCGGUAAGGUGAUAUGAACCGUUAUAACCGGCGAUACCCGAAUGGGGAAACCCAGUGUGAUUCGUCACACUAUCAUUAACUGAAUCCAUAGGUUAAUGAGGCGAACCGGGGGAACUGAAACAUCUAAGUACCCCGAGGAAAAGAAAUCAACCGAGAUUCCCCCAGUAGCGGCGAGCGAACGGGGAGGAGCCCAGAGCCUGAAUCAGCAUGUGUGUUAGUGGAAGCGUCUGGAAAGGUGCGCGAUACAGGGUGACAGCCCCGUACACAAAAGCGCAUGUGCUGUGAGCUCGAUGAGUAGGGCGGGACACGUGGUAUCCUGUCUGAAUAUGGGGGACCAUCCUCCAAGGCUAAAUACUCCUGACUGACCGAUAGUGAACCAGUACCGUGAGGGAAAGGCGAAAAGAACCCCGGCGAGGGGAGUGAAAAAGAACCUGAAACCGUGUACGUACAAGCAGUGGGAGCACAGGUUUACCUGUGUGACUGCGUACCUUUUGUAUAAUGGGUCAGCGACUUAUAUUCUGUAGCAAGGUUAACCGUAUAGGGGAGCCGGAGGGAAACCGAGUCUUAAUUGGGCGUUAAGUUGCAGGGUAUAGACCCGAAACCCGGUGAUCUAGCCAUGGGCAGGUUGAAGGUUGGGUAACACUAACUGGAGGACCGAACCGACUAAUGUUGAAAAAUUAGCGGAUGACCUGUGGCUGGGGGUGAAAGGCCAAUCAAACCGGGAGAUAGCUGGUUCUCCCCGAAAGCUAUUUAGGUAGCGCCUCGUGAAUUCAUCUCCGGGGGUAGAGCACUGUUUCGGCUAGGGGGCCAUCCCGGCUUACCAACCCGAUGCAAACUGCGAAUACCGGAGAAUGUUAUCACGGGAGACACACGGCGGGUGCUAACGUCCGUCGUGAAGAGGGAAACAACCCAGACCGCCAGCUAAGGUCCCAAAGUCAUGGUUAAGUGGGAAACGAUGUGGGAAGGCCCAGACAGCCAGGAUGUUGGCUUAGAAGCAGCCAUCAUUUAAAGAAAGCGUAAUAGCUCACUGGUCGAGUCGGCCUGCGCGGAAGAUGUAACGGGGCUAAACCAUGCACCGAAGCUGCGGCAGCGAACGUAUCACCCAAGACAACUUUACGGAGUUGACGAUUGACGGAGCGAAGCGACGUCAAAGCGUUCAUUAAAGUCGAGUUGGCUUAGGGAUACGUUCGUUGGGUAGGGGAGCGUUCUGUAAGCCUGUGAAGGUGUGUCGUGAGGCAUGCUGGAGGUAUCAGAAGUGCGAAUGCUGACAUAAGUAACGAUAAAGCGGGUGAAAAGCCCGCUCGCCGGAAGACCAAGGGUUCCUGUCCAACGUUAAUCGGGGCAGGGUGAGUCGACCCCUAAGGCGAGGCCGAAAGGCGUAGUCGAUGGGAAACGGGUUAAUAUUCCCGUACUUGGUGUUACUGCGAAGGGGGACGGAGAAGGCUAUGUUGGCCGGGCGACGGUUGUCCCGGUUUAAGCGUGUAGGUGUGUGUUCCAGGUAAAUCCGGUUCACUUUAACACUGAGGCGUGACGACGAGGCACUACGGUGCUGAAGCAACAAAUGCCCUGCUUCCAGGAAAAGCCUCUAAGCAUCAGGUAACAUCAAAUCGUACCCCAAACCGACACAGGUGGUCAGGUAGAGAAUACCAAGGCGCUUGAGAGAACUCGGGUGAAGGAACUAGGCAAAAUGGUGCCGUAACUUCGGGAGAAGGCACGCUGACACGUAGGUGAAGUGAUUUACUCAUGGAGCUGAAGUCAGUCGAAGAUACCAGCUGGCUGCAACUGUUUAUUAAAAACACAGCACUGUGCAAACACGAAAGUGGACGUAUACGGUGUGACGCCUGCCCGGUGCCGGAAGGUUAAUUGAUGGGGUCAGCGUAAGCGAAGCUCCUGAUCGAAGCCCCGGUAAACGGCGGCCGUAACUAUAACGGUCCUAAGGUAGCGAAAUUCCUUGUCGGGUAAGUUCCGACCUGCACGAAUGGCGUAAUGAUGGCCAGGCUGUCUCCAUCCGAGACUCAGUGAAAUUGAACUCGCUGUGAAGAUGCAGUGUACCCGCGGCAAGACGGAAAGACCCCGUGAACCUUUACUAUAGCUUGACACUGAACAUUGAGCCUUGAUGUGUAGGAUAGGUGGGAGGCUUUGAAGUGUGGACGCCAGUCUGCAUGGAGCCGACCUUGAAAUACCACCCUUUAAUGUUUGAUGUUCUAACGUGGACCCGUAAUCCGGGUUGCGGACAGUGUCUGGUGGGUAGUUUGACUGGGGCGGUCUCCUCCUAAAGAGUAACGGAGGAGCACGAAGGUUGGCUAAUCCUGGUCGGACAUCAGGAGGUUAGUGCAAUGGCAUAAGCCAGCUUGACUGCGAGCGUGACGGCGCGAGCAGGUGCGAAAGCAGGUCAUAGUGAUCCGGUGGUUCUGAAUGGAAGGGCCAUCGCUCAACGGAUAAAAGGUACUCCGGGGAUAACAGGCUGAUACCGCCCAAGAGUUCAUAUCGACGGCGGUGUUUGGCACCUCGAUGUCGGCUCAUCACAUCCUGGGGCUGAAGUAGGUCCCAAGGGUAUGGCUGUUCGCCAUUUAAAGUGGUACGCGAGCUGGGUUUAGAACGUCGUGAGACAGUUCGGUCCCUAUCUGCCGUGGGCGCUGGAGAACUGAGGGGGGCUGCUCCUAGUACGAGAGGACCGGAGUGGACGCAUCACUGGUGUUCGGGUUGUCAUGCCAAUGGCACUGCCCGGUAGCUAAAUGCGGAAGAGAUAAGUGCUGAAAGCAUCUAAGCACGAAACUUGCCCCGAGAUGAGUUCUCCCUGAGACUUAGAGUCUCCUGAAGGAACGUUGAAGACGACGACGUUGAUAGGCCGGGUGUGUAAGCGCAGCGAUGCGUUGAGCUAACCGGUACUAAUGAACCGUGAGGCUUAACCUUACAACGCCGAAG
rnacentral:rRNA from 1 species